UACGUAGGGACCAAGCGUUGUUCGGAUUUACUGGGCGUAAAGGGCGCGUAGGCGGCGUGUUAAGUCACUUGUGAAAUCUCUAAGCUUAACUUAGAACGGUCAAGUGAUACUGAUGUGCUAGAGUGCAGAAGGGGCAACCGGAAUUCUUGGUGUAGCGGUGAAAUGCGUAGAUAUCAAGAGGAACACCAGUGGCGAAGGCGGCUACCUGGACAAUUGCUGACGCUCAGGCACGAAAGCGUGGGGGAGCAAAAAGGG
rnacentral:rRNA from 1 species